UGGACCAGUGAUGAGACUGGAGGGUUCUGGAUCAAAAAUCGUGAUUAAAGCCAUCUGGAACUCUGAGGUCCAU
ensembl:snoRNA SNORD113-8 small nucleolar RNA, C/D box 113-8